rnacentral:lncRNA from 1 species
AUUGUCAAGCAAUCAAGUAUUACAGAGAGCAAGGAGUUCGGAGAGCUGAAGGUUUUCAUGAGCGGAAGUGAAUGAAGAUCGAAGUCAUCAAAAUACUUGUAAUAUGUAAUUUUUAUCUUGCAUUUGUUUUGAACAAUAUGAGUAGCUAAAUCCCCCAAUUCUAUGGGGGUGUCCCUGAUUUAGAAUUGUAACGAAUUUGAGUAUACUUUUGCAUUUAUAAUAUUAUUCUUACG